UGGUGGAGUGAUUUGUCUGGUUAAUUCCGUUAACGAACGAGACCUCGACCUGCUAAAUAGUACUUCGAAUCCUUCGGGAUUCGCUUGCACUUCUUAGAGGGACUAUCGGUGAUUUAGCCGAUGGAAGUUCGAGGCAAUAACA
rnacentral:rRNA from 1 species